AUUGAACGCUGGCGGCAUGCUUUACACAUGCAAGUCGAACGGUAACAGGCCUUCGGGUGCUGACGAGUGGCGAACGGGGGAGUAAUGCAUAGGAACGUGCCCAGAGGUGGGGGAUAACGCAGCGAAAGCUGUGCUAAUACCGCAUGUGAUCUGAGGAUGAAAGCGGGGGACCAGGCAGCAAUGUUUGGCCUCGCGCCUUUGGAGCGGCCGAUGUCAGAUUAGGUAGUUGGUGGGGUAAAGGCCUACCAAGCCGACGAUCUGUAGCUGGUCUGAGAGGACGACCAGCCACACUGGAACUGAGACACGGCCCAGACUCCUACGGGAGGCAGCAGUGGGGAAUUUUGGACAAUGGGCGCAAGCCUGAUCCAGCAAUGCCGCGUGCGUGAAGAAGGCCUUCGGGUUGUAAACCGCUUUUGUACGGAAAGAAAAGGCUCUGGCUAAUACCUGGGGCUGAUGACGGUACCGUAAGAAUAAGCACCGGCUAACUACGUG
rnacentral:rRNA from 1 species